rnacentral:rRNA from 1 species
CAAUAGCGUAUAUUAAAGUUGUUGCGGUUAAAAAGCUCGUAGUUGGAUCUUGUACCUGGACAGGCGGUCCGCCUCACGGCGAGUACUGUCUUGCUGGGUCUUUCCUCUUGGUGAUCUGUUGUUUCGGCAGCAGGGAACCAGGACCUUUACUUUGAAAAAAUUAGAGUGUUCAAAGCAGGCUCGACGCCGGAAUAUAUUAGCAUGGAAUAAUAAAAUAGGACGUGCGGUUCUAUUUUGUUGGUUUUUGGAAUCGCCGUAAUGAUUAAUAGGGACAGUCGGGGGCAUUAGUACUCACAUGCUAGAGGUGAAAUUCUUGGAUUUUGUGAAGACUAACUUCUGCGAAAGCAUUUGCCAAGGAUGUUUUCAUUAA